UAAAUAGCUUGUUGUUGUUGUUGUUCAUGUUCCUUAAUUUUUGCACAAACAUCUGCAUAUGUUGCACAAUUAUAAUGUGUUUCUAAGGCUGCAUUAAAAUUGGAAACGUCAGUAGGUGUUAUUGAGCCUGCAUCUAUUUAAAAAAAAAUCCUUAAAAAUUUAAUUAAAAAUACCAAAAUAUAUAAACAACUUUGACAAAUAGCAGACAAUUAUUAAGCAAUAAUAAUCACUCCUUUGUACAUGAAUACUUUUAUAAAACUUUAUUAUUAUACUUUUUAAUUAAACACAAACUUGUUUUCUUAUGAUUAUUUAUAAUUUUAUAAUAGAAGAUUUGGUAAGAUAUAAUUUCAAAUGAUUUAUUCUUACCUAACAAUUGCUCACCUUUAUCCAUUUUCAAUAGCUUUGUAAUAGGUUUAGCGCAAAUAAUUCAAAAUGAGGUGAUAAGUUUUUAGGUUAACGGUAAAUAAGAUGGGUUUGAUAUUUUAAAAAAAACGCAGAACAAGAUAUUCAUAAGUUUAGCGCAUGUGUGUUUGUUUGCUAAAAGUUUAAUGCAAAAAAUCGUGGUGAAAAUUAAUUCUUGCAAGAAAUAAAUAUGAAAAUUUUACUUUUUAUUUUUAUACAAUUGUAAGGUUUUUUUAAUUGUUUCAGCAUUUUUAGAAUGUUCAAGAUGAAUAAUGGCUCAAGAAACUUUAAAGGUGUUUAGAGAGCAGAAGUCGAUGAACUUGUUAAGGUUUAUAAUCGAUAAAUAAUUUUAAGACAAAAACUGAAAAAAGGAAGGAAAUUUUAUAAAUGUUCUAAAAUUGAAUGCAAAGCCAGGUAUAUUUGUUGGGUUCAAACAUGUACCCUCAAACAGAAGACCAAGCUUAACUUUAUUUAAAUGGAAAGUUGUUGAAUUUUUAUUCUAAUCAGGGAGAAGUCAGAAAAUGAAUUAAAAUGUUAACUGGCCAAUCUUUGAAAUAUGGAGUCUCAAUACAAAUAAGUAUUUUUUUUAUGCUAAGUAAUUUUUCUGGUACCAGAAUUAGUCGGCAACCUUUGCAGUCGGCAAAUGCCUAUAUUAGUAAUCGGCAACCUUUAGUAUCUCCCUGUAACUUGCAAGUUUAAGGUUGUCGACCGCUAACCUCAAGUGAUAACUUUUAAAAUUUACUAAAUGGAUAUUUUUAAUUUAAAAUGUGGCAGAGGACAAAAGUGUCACUGGUUUUCCUUUAUUUUUUAAGAUUAGUUUUCUUUUGCAUUUUAUAAAUUUUAGUUGCUUCUUGAUUCAUUAGUUGAUGUUUUUUAAAAAUUUUUGGAAUGCAUUUCCCAUAACUUAGUGUAAAGGAUUUACUAUAUAAUAUAUAGGCACCACAAAUUGUUUAUAAAUAAAACUUUAAUGUUUUCUUUAGAACCUUGUUCGAAAGACGUCGAGACCAGAACUAUAUUUAUUUGAUGACAGCUUUUUAUAUCAUUUUCCGUUUUAUCGCAUAGUUAUUUUAUAAAAUAUUUUACGGAAUUAAGUAGAAAAGAUUUUGAAUGUUGGAGAUUAAAUCAUCCCGGGCCAAAUCAAGGAAUGCUUUUAGGGUUUGGACCCAAAAUGGUGAAAAGGAUCGACAAGAUUUUAGGCCGUAUUGACGAGGAAGAAGAUGACGAAGUGUUGUUGUUAACAGUACAUACACCUGAUAGUCAUUUAAGUUAUGUUAAGAUUUUCAAUAUGCGUUGUUGGAUAUGCAGAAAAAUUUCUGGUGGAUUCAAGAUUCGCUAGCCCAAAUCCUUGAUAAGCUUAAAAACGUCGAACAACGUGGAGUUUAGUUUGAAUAUUGACAACAUGAAAAAAAAACAUAUAAGUUCAUUUGAGAAAUUCAAUAUUAUUGAAAAUAUUUUAAAAACAAGUUCAGAUGCAGGAAAAUGCAAAGUAACUUCAACUGUUCACUCUGACAAUAAAAAUCUAUAUUCCAAUUUUUAUUAUUGUUGAAGAGUGAUGUCUAGGUGUUUGUAAGAAUUACCAACUUUAGUGAUAUAAAUAAUAGUUGUAGUGGUAACAGUAAUAGUUGUGCUGUUGUGGCAGAGAGCUUGCUUUUUAAACAAGAAAGUCCAAGUUUGAUACCCACUACGUCCCAUAAAGUACCAUGUAUCACUUUCAACUUCCAACUUUAUUGAACCUUAUUUCAUUAUACAUUAUAUUA
rnacentral:lncRNA from 1 species